UUGGAGGGCAAGUCUGGUGCCAGCAGCCGCGGUAAUUCCAGCUCCAAUAGCGUAUAUUAAAGUUGUUGCAGUUAAAAAGCUCGUAGUUGAAUUUCGGGAUCAGAUUGUCGGUCGUGCCUCGGUACGCACUGGCAUUAUUGGUUCCUACCUUCUGAAGAACCGCGAUGUCAUUAAUUUGGUGUCGUGGGGAAUCAGGACUGUUACUUUGAAAAAAUUAGAGUGUUUAAAGCAGGCUUACGCUUGAAUACAUUAGCAUGGAAUAAUGAAAUAGGACGUUUGAUUCUAUUUUGUUGGUUUCUAGGAUUGACGUAAUGAUUAAUAGGGAUAGUUGGGGGCAUUAGUAUUCAAUUGUCAGAGGUGAAAUUCUUGGAUUUAUUGAAGACUAACUACUGCGAAAGCAUUUGCCAAGGAUGUUUUCAUUAAUCAAGAACGAAAGUUAGGGGAUCGAAGACGAUCAGAUACCGUCGUAGUCUUAACCAUAAACUAUGCCGACUAGGGAUCGGAUGAUGUUAAUUUUUUAAUGACUCAUUCGGCGCCUUACGGGAAACCAAAGUGUUUGGGUUC
rnacentral:rRNA from 1 species